UCUUGUCUAAUGAACUGACCUUUGAGUGCAUUUUACUGCAUAAAAUGAUGGUAGUAGAGUUAUGGUAAUUGUUCGCUGGAUAGCCCCUUGUAAGAACUUGAACUGUUGUUCGCAUAAGUCUACUUUUUUUACAAUGCAUAGGCAAUUCUCUCAGUUAAGAUAAAUAUAUUUUAACAGGUAUGGAUGCGAAAGUAAAGGCAAUGAUCAAGCUCAUUGAAGAAGAUGCAGAUUCAUUUGCAAGGAGAGCAGAAAUGUACUAUAAAAAACGUCCACAGCUGCUGAAAUUGGUUGAAGAGUUCUAUCGUGCUUACCGUGCACUAGCAGAGAGGUAUGAUCAUGCAACUAUGGAUCUUCGGCAAGCCCAUCAAACCAUGGCUAAAGCAUUUCCAAACCAAGUGCCUUGUGAGCUGGCUGAUGACUCACUCUUAGGCUCUUCAGGUGCUGAGGGAGAGCUUCACAUGCCAAAAAUGCCACACCCAGUUCAUGCAUUAGUUGACUCAGGUGACUCGCACGAGGAUGCACUAGGACUCUCUUCGGCCAACCUGCAUGCCAUGAAAAGCAACAGUAGAAAUCCCGAAGGAUCAGACUCUGGAAUUAGCAGAAGUGAUUUAAAUGACAUGUUUGAAUCAAAAGUAUUGGUUUCAAGAGUUUCAGGAGGAAAGACGAAAUCAUGCCCAAACAUCCAAGAACUGGUGGGGGACAAAACUGAAGUAAAAAACUUGAAGAAAACCCUUGCAGAGAUUCAAACUGAAAAGGAAGGUGUUCUUCUUCAAUGCCAGCAGAAGAUGCAGAUGUUAUCUAUCCUGGAAAGAGAACUUAAGGAAGCUGGAGGACUUGAAGAACAAGCAAGCAGAGCUGAAAUUGAAGUCAAAAUCCUGAGGGAAACCCUUGUUAAAUUAGAAUCUGAGAGGGAUGUUGGUCUCCUUCAGCACAAUAAAUGUUCGCAAAGAAUAUCUAGUCUGGAGAAUACAAUCUCUCAAACACAUGAGGAUGCAAAUGGACUCAACGAAAGAGCAAUAAAAGCAGAAAUAGAAGCUAAAAAUCUCAAGCAAGAACUUUCUACCUUGGAGGUUGACAAGGAAGCUGAUCUUCUUCAAUACAAUCAAUGUCUUGAAAUGAUAUUAAUUUUGGGGAAUAAAAUCUCGCUUGCAGAGGCAAAUGCAAAAAUGCUUAAUGAGCAAACUGAAAGAACAGAGGCUGAAGUUAAAGCAUUGAAGGAAGCUCUUGCCAGGUUGAACAAAGAGAAAGAAGAUGCAGAACUUCGGUAUGAGCAAUGUUUGGAAAGAAUAGAUGAAAUGGAGUGUGAAAUUUCUCAUUCCCAAGAAGAUGUCCAAAGACUCAAUAGUGAAAUUAUAACAGGUGCUGCAAAAUUGAAAGAUGUAGAAGAACAAUAUUUUCUGUUAGAGAGAUCAAAUCAAUCUCUGCAGAUGGAGGCGGACAAUCUGGCACAGAAGAUAGCAAAAAAGGAUCAACGACUUCUGGAGAAAGAAGACGAAUUGAAGAAACUUCAAACUUCACUGCAAAAUGAGCGCUCACGGUUUAUCCAAAUUGAAGCUGCUUUGCAAACUUUGCAGAAGCUGCACUCUCAAUCUCAAGAGGAGCAGAGAGUUUUGGCACAAGAGCUUGAGAAGAAACUUCAGUUGUUGAAGGACUUGGAGAUAAGCAACAACGACCUGCAGGAAGAUCUCCAGCGGCUUAAGGAAGAGAACCAGAGUCUUGAUGAACUGAAAAGUUCCUCCGGAAGUUCAAUAAUGAGUUUACAAAAUGAAAAUUUCAACCUGAAAGAAGUGAAAGAAAAACUCGAACAGGAUCUUUCCAUACAAGAGGCCCAAAAUAAUUCCCUGCAGAAAGAGAUCCAACAUUUGAAGGAGGAUAUUGAUUACUUGAAUAGGAAAUAUCAUGAUUUAAUAGAGCAAUUGAGCUUAUUUGGUUUGGAUCCCAAGAGCCUGAAUUCAGCAGUCAAGGACUUGCAAGACGAGAACUUGAAGCUGAAAGAAGCCUAUGAAAUGGACAGAAAUGAAAAAGAAGCUCUACAUGAGAAGUUGAGGGACAUGAAUGAGCUUCUGGAGAGAAAUGUUGGUCUGGAGAGAUCUCUAUCAGAAUUGAAUAGCAAGUUUCAGGGAUCAAUGAAACGGAUCGAAGAAUUACAGGAGUCCUGCCAGUUUCUUCAAGGAGAAAAAUCUGGUCUUGUUGCUGAAAAAGCCAUCCUGCUUUCUCAGUUACAAACUAUGACUGAGAAUAUGCGAAGGCUCUUGGACAGAGAUGCCAUGCUGGAGGAUUCACUCACUCGUGCAAAUGCUGAAGUUGGAGGUUUAAGGGCGAAGUCAAAAGGUUUGGAAGAAUUAUGUCAGACGCUCAAAGAUGAGAAAUCCAAUCUUCAAAAUGAAAGAAGCACCUUCAUGAGUCAGCUAGAAAAUGUUGAACAGAGACUUGGAAUUCUAAAAAGGAGGUUUACAAGAUUAGAAGAAAAACAUGAAGCAAAAGAACUGCAGAGUUACCUUGGCAAAAAAAGACAAGGGCGUGCAUGUCAUAUACAGUCUAGUGAAUCCCAAUUGGCAGAUCUGGAGAACCAGGUCCUUCUUCAGAAAGAAGAAACUAAAUUGAGUAACAAAGAAUAUGAAGAUGAACUAGACAGGGUUGUCAAUGCUCAGGUUGAGAUCUUCAUCUUGCAGAAGUUUAUACAAGAUUUGGGAGAGAAGAAUUCAUCUUUGUUGCUUGAAUGCAAGAAACAUGUUGAAGCAUCCAAAUUCUCAAAUAAAUUGAUAUUAGAGCUAGAGACCAAGAAUCUUGAGCAACAGGUGGAAGUAGAAUUCUUAUUGGAUGAAACUAAAAAGCUGAAAAUGGGAGUUCAGCAAAUAUUCAGAGCUAUUCAGUUUGAUCCAGUCAAUGAGCAUGAAGAUGGGAUCGAAGAAGGGCAAAUUCCUGUUCUUGAUAUUUUGCAUCACAUCGAGGGCUUAAAAGAUUCCCUUCUAAGAAAUGAGGAUGAGAAGCAACAACUAGUGAUUGAGAACUUGAUGCUCUCAACUUUAAUUGGAGAACUAAGAUUAGAGGGCGCAGAAAUCAAGUCGAAGAAGAAAAUCUUUAAGCAGGAGUGUGACAUUAUGGCAGAGCAAUAUAGAAUGCUGCAAAAGGAUAUGCAUGAACUUGUAGAGAUGAACAUGCAACUGAGAAUGGAAGCAAGUAAACGAGAGCAGCAAGAGGAGGUAUUGAAGGAUGAACUGGAAAUUCAACAUGCAAGUCUUGAAAGUUUGCAGGGUUCUUACCUUGCAUUGCAAGAAGAAAACUUCAAGGCACUUGAAGAAAACAGAGCUUUACUUGAGAAAUUUUCAGAUUUGAGAAAGAAAAUGUGUAUAUUGGAAGAGGAAAAUAGUGCAUGUCUCCAGGAAGUAUUGUUGCAAUAUGACUCAUAGAUUGCUCUCACGAAAGGAAGGACACAAAAAAAAGAAAAAGCCAAGCCAAAGCAAAAUGUCAAUACUCAUCACAAAUCUUUUACGAUGCCAUGAAAAAAGACCUGAAAGUUCCUGUAUGUGCACAUUCAUUGGUCACUUCGAGCUUUUGUCAUGUAACUAUAGCUUUACGUAUAAGGGUUGUAUUGUAAAAUUCCAUAUUACCUUAUACCGCCAUGGUAAUUCGCUCUUAAUCUUUUAGCUCUGAGUUUUCUUGAAAUUAGAUUAUUUUUUUGCUGAGAUAGGCUGCCUAGUAAAUAACUUCAAAAUGAGGAAACAAAUUAGGUUCUUACGAUGUUUGUUUGGCAAAAUGAGAGUUUAAAGUGUAAAAAAGUAAAAGUAUAAAGAAAAACCAGAUGCAAAACUUAAAAGCUUAAUGAACAAGAUUUGACAAGGAGAAAUCGUAUAAUACACUAUUAGCAUAUGAAAAUAAUAAUUGUGAGAAAAUGUAUGUAUGAUUAUAUAUAAUGAACAGAGAUUAUACCCAUUUGCAUUCUCACCCCAGCCAUGUGAAAGGAAGUGGUAGGAGAAAAGAAAGCUGCAAAUGGUCAAGGCAGACUAGAGAUGGAUCUCCAUGGAUAUUCCUUUUCAAAUAUGGUAGCUAGAUUAUGUGGGGGCAAAGGGAUGGCCACAGUUCACUUGCUAGCACAAAACCCUGCAAAAUAUUUGUAAUUCCUUUUACUUUCCAACAACUUUUCAGAAUCUCUGAAGGGAACCUGCGGGUGUGGAUCAAAACAUAUCGGGGGGUCCAUUGCUUUUCAAGAUCUUCAACCACAAGCUGUCCUUCAAUGGUUGGUGAUGCCUUUAACUAUGAAUUGAGCGUUAUGCAUGGUGCAUCCUUCAACAUCCAUUUCAAAUACAUAAACUUUAUCUACUUUCCUUCCAGAAUAAUUUAAGAGAGAGAAAAGAAAAAGAGAUGCAAGGCAGACAAGUAGAUCACAUCUCUUGGGUCGGUGAUUUUCCAGCAAUAGUGCCUUAAAAGCACCAUAGAUUUGGUAGAGAGUAACCAUCAAACCCUAAUUUGAAACUUAAUUGUAGUAUGGCAAUAGGGUUCCCACGGUACAUAGUCCUUGUACUGUCUACGACUAUGCUUCAUUUCAUUUUCC
rnacentral:lncRNA from 1 species